UACGUAGGGGGCAAGCGUUGUCCGGAUUUAUUGGGCGUAAAGAGCUCGUAGGCGGCUUAGCAAGUCGGGUGUGAAACCUCCAGGCUCAACCUGGAGCUGCCACUCGAUACUGCUAUGGCUUGAGUCCGGUAGGGGACCACGGAAUUCCUGGUGUAGCGGUGAAAUGCGCAGAUAUCAGGAGGAACACCAGUGGCGAAGGCGGUGGUCUGGGCCGGAACUGACGCUGAGGAGCGAAAGCGUGGGUAGCAAACAGG
rnacentral:rRNA from 1 species